UGGGGAAUAUUGGGCAAUGGGCGAAAGCCUGACCCAGCAACGCCGCGUGAAGUAUGAAGGCCUUCGGGUUGUAAACUUCUUUGAUCAGGGAAGAAACAAAUGACGGUACCUGAAAAACAAGCCACGGCGAACUACGUGCCAGCAGCCGCGGUAAUACGUAGGUGGCGAGCGUUAUCCGGAUUUACUGGGUGUAAAGGGCGUGCAGGCGGGCUGAUAAGUCAGAUGUGAAAUCCCCGAGCUUAACUCGGGAACUGCAUCUGAUACUGUUGGUCUUGAGUGCUGGAGAGGAUAGUGGAAUUCCUAGUGUAGCGGUAAAAUGCGCAGAUAUUAGGAGGAACACCAGUGGCGAAGGCGGCUAUCUGGACAGUAACUGACGCUGAGGCGCGAAAGCGUGGGUAGCAAACAGG
rnacentral:rRNA from 1 species